rnacentral:lncRNA from 1 species
ACUUACUUAAAAUAUUUUCAUCAUCUAUAUUUUCUAAGAAAUGAGCAUCACGACUCUCUAUUAGUGAUUUAAUUCUUAAUUUUUUUUGAAUAACCUAUAAAAGAGCAUUUUAUAGUUUUACUUUUGUAUGUUAUCUCUAUUUUAUGGUGGUAUAAAUACAUGUGCUAGAUAACCCCAAAUUUUCAAGAUAGUAAGGUCAAGUUUCCUACCUAUCCAUAAUUCAUAUGGGGUCAAGUCUACAGAUUUAGUUGGAAGAUAAUUAAUAAUAUAAAUUGCAAUGUUGAGAGCCUC